CCUACGGGAGGCAGCAGUGAGGAAUAUUGGUCAAUGGACGGGAGUCUGAACCAGCCAAGUAGCGUGAAGGAUGACUGCCCUAUGGGUUGUAAACUUCUUUUAUAUGGGAAUAAAAUGUUCCACGUGUGGGAUUUUGUAUGUACCUUAUGAAUAAGGAUCGGCUAAUUCCGUGCCAGCAGCCGCGGUAAUACGGAGGAUGCGAGCGUUAUCCGGAUUUAUUGGGUUUAAAGGGAGCGUAGGAGGGUUGAUAAGUCAGCGGUAAAAUCUUGCGGCUCAACCGUACCGUUUCGGUGAAACAGUGGGAGGUGAGGAUGCGCAGGGUACAUGGAAUUCGUGGUGUAGCGGUGAAAUGCUGAGAUAUCACGAAGAACUCCGAUAGCGAAGGCAUUGUACCGGAGCAAGACUGACGCUGAGGCUCGAAAGUGCGGGUAUAAAACAGGAUUAGAUACACUAGUAGUC
rnacentral:rRNA from 1 species